rnacentral:rRNA from 1 species
GGCGAACGCUGGCGGCGUGCUUAACACAUGCAAGUCGAACGGAAAGGCCUGCUUUCCCUUGUGGAUUGCGGGUACUCGAGUGGCGAACGGGUGAGUAACACGUGAGUGAUCUGCCCCCAACUUGGGUAUAAGCCCGGGAAACUGGGUCUAAUUCCCGAUAGGACUGCAGGGUGGUGCCUGUGGUGGAAAACGAUUUUCUAGUGGUUGGGGAUGAGCUCGCGGCCUAUCAGCUUGUUGGUGGGGUAAUGGCCUACCAAGGCGGCGACGGGUAGCCGGCCUGAGAGGGUGGACGGCCACAUUGGGACUGAGAUACGGCCCAGACUCCUACGGGAGGCAGCAGUGGGGAAUAUUGCACAAUGGGCGGAAGCCUGAUGCAGCGACGCCGCGUGGGGGAUGACGGCCUUCGGGUUGUAAACUCCUUUCGACCGCGAGGAAGCCACCUGGUUGGAAGGGUGGUGACGGUAGUGGUAGAAGAAGCACCGGCUAACUACGUG